rnacentral:rRNA from 1 species
UACGUAGGGUGCAAGCGUUAAUCGGAAUUACUGGGCGUAAAGCGUGCGUAGGCGGUUUGGCAAGAAAGAUGUGAAAUCCCAGGGCUUAACCUUGGAACUGCAUUUUUAACUGCCAGGCUAGAGUAUGUCAGAGGGGGGUAGAAUUCCGCGUGUAGCAGUGAAAUGCGUAGAGAUGCGGAGGAAUACCGAUGGCGAAGGCAGCCCCCUGGGAUAAUACUGACGCUCAGGCACGAAAGCGUGGGGAGCAAAC